rnacentral:rRNA from 1 species
CGUACGAGUUCUCGUUGAUGAUCGGUGCUUGCACCGAGAUUCAACAUGCCAUGAGUGGCGGACGGGUGAGUAACACGUGGGUAACCUGCCCUUAAGUGGGGGAUAACAUUUGGAAACAGAUGCUAAUACCGCAUAGAUCCAAGAACCGCAUGGUUCUUGGCUGAAAGAUGGCGUAAGCUAUCGCUUUUGGAUGGACCCGCGGCGUAUUAGCUAGUUGGUGAGGUAAUGGCUCACCAAGGCGAUGAUACGUAGCCGAACUGAGAGGUUGAUCGGCCACAUUGGGACUGAGACACGGCCCAAACUCCUACGGGAGGCAGCAGUAGGGAAUCUUCCACAAUGGACGCAAGUCUGAUGGAGCAACGCCGCGUGAGUGAAGAAGGCUUUCGGGUCGUAAAACUCUGUUGUUGGAGAAGAAUGGUCGGCAGAGUAACUGUUGCCGGCGUGACGGUAUCCAACCAGAAAGCCACGGCUAACUACGUGCCAGCAGCCGCGGUAAUACGUAGGUGGCAAGCGUUAUCCGGAUUUAUUGGGCGUAAAGCGAGCGCAGGCGGUUUUUUAAGUCUGAUGUGAAAGCCCUCGGCUUAACCGAGGAAGCGCAUCGGAAACUGGGAAACUUGAGUGCAGAAGAGGACAGUGGAACUCCAUGUGUAGCGGUGAAAUGCGUAGAUAUAUGGAAGAACACCAGUGGCGAAGGCGGCUGUCUGGUCUGUAACUGACGCUGAGGCUCGAAAGCAUGGGUAGCGAACAGGAUUAGAUACCCUGGUAGUCCAUGCCGUAAACGAUGAAUGCUAGGUGUUG